UACGGAGGGAGCUAGCGUUGUUCGGAAAUACUGGGCGUAAAGCGCACGUAGGCGGCGCAGCAAGUCAGGGGUGAAAUCCCGGGGCUCAACCCCGGAACUGCCCUUGAAACUGCAGUGCUAGAAUCUUGGAGAGGUCAGUGGAAUUCCGAGUGUAGAGGUGAAAUUCGUAGAUAUUCGGAAGAACACCAGUGGCGAAGGCGACUGACUGGACAAGUAUUGACACUGAGGCGCGAAAGCCAGGGGAGCAAACGGG
rnacentral:rRNA from 1 species